UGUCGGAGAAAAGACGGGCAAAACACGUUGGCCCGGAUUUAAGGAUUACUGUCAAUGUGUAUGUGCUUGUACACGCUUGCGUGCGACGACCAUUUUGAAUGUAGUCUGGGGGAACGAGGGCGGGCAGGAAGUGUUUGGCCGCGCGAGGCGCUCUGUCCUCGCGUUUCUUCCUGCGGGACCGGAGAGGCCGUGCGUGGGGAAGGAGGUGGGGAGCUCAGCGUGCGAACGAAAUGGCGGCCGCGCGGUUUCACCGUAUCUCUUCCAGACGCUGCAAGCACAGUGCUCUCCACUAGCCUUACUACUCCGCCUUCACAUUCGCUCCGUUUGCACUUUAAAUUCAUGAGGGAAUUGGAAGCUACAGCCACCAAAGAAGCUGAGAAGACGCAAAACAGGGAUAUAGUGCAAGGAAAGGAAGAACAGUUGAUGGAAGAAAGGAAAAAGAGAGAGGACGAGAAGA